GUCGAACGAACUUAAUCGAAAGUUUACUUUUGAAGCGGUUAGUGGCGGACCGGUGAGUAACGCGUAAGUAAUCUGCCUAUCAGAGGGGAAUAACAGUGAGAAAUCAUUGCUAAUACCGCAUAUACUAAUUUUAUCACAUGAUGAAAUUAGGAAAGGAGCAAUCCGCUGAUAGAUGGGCUUGCGUCUGAUUAGUUAGUUGGUAGGGUAAAGGCCUACCAAGACGAUGAUCAGUAGCCGGACUGAGAGGUUGAACGGCCACAUUGGGACUGAGAUACGGCCCAGACUCCUACGGGAGGCAGCAGUCGGGAAUAUUGCGCAAUGGAGGAAACUCUGACGCAGUGACGCCGCGUAUAGGAAGAAGGUCUUCGGAUUGUAAACUAUUGUCGUUAGGGAAGAGAAAGGACAGUACCUAAGGAGGAAGCUCCGGCUAACUACGUGCCAGCAGCCGCGGUAAUACGUAGGGAGCGAGCGUUAUCCGGAUUUAUUGGGUGUAAAGGGUGCGUAGACGGGAAAAUAAGUUAGUUGUGAAAUCCAUCGGCUUAACUGAGGAACUGCAACUAAAACUGAUUUUCUUGAGUACUGGAGAGGAAAGUGGAAUUCCUAGUGUAGCGGUGAAAUGCGUAGAUAUUAGGAGGAACACCAGUGGCGAAAGCGACUUUCUGGACAGUAACUGACGUUGAGGCAC
rnacentral:rRNA from 1 species